CAUCUUUUUUGGCCGUCAACGGCACGAUCACAGGACAUGAACAAUAAGCUGUAGCGUAGCGUCAUAAAAAAUAAAAACUGACAAGAUUUGUCAAAACAAACUAAAUAAUUAUUUGUUUAUGUUUCUAAAUACAGAAAACAUUCUCAAGUUUUAAAAUACCUAUAAUAUUUAAUAUGAUAUUGAAGUACAGUCAAUUAUAUUUAUGGUAAUGCCAAUAUAGAUAUCUAUUGGAAACAUUAGGGCAUAGAGCUUAUGCAAAAUUGCGAGUUCCUUUAUAGUCUAUAGCAUAAAGUCCAUAAAGAUUACAAAAACGCAAGGAAACAAAGAUGCACCAUGAGAGGAAAUUACCAAAAGAAAUGGAUGUGAUCCUGAUCGUUUUAGAAAAGGAAAAAAUGAGUUUUAUGCUAGAAUUGAGGCAUCAGAAAGUAACUGACCUUCCUGCAAUUAACAGACACUUUUUUACUGAGCACAGUGA